rnacentral:rRNA from 1 species
GCAAGCCGAGGGGUAACAUGUUUUUCUGACCGCUGACGACCGUCGCACGGGUGAGUAACGCGUAUGCAACCUACCGUACACAGGAGAAUAGCCCGGUGAAAACCGGAUUAAUGCUCCAUAAAGCAGGGAUCCCGCAUGGGAAUAUUUGCUAAAGAUUUAUCGGUGUACGAUGGGCAUGCGUGACAUUAGCUAGAUGGUGAGGUAACGGCUUACCAUGGCAACGAUGUCUAGGGGUUCUGCAAGGAAGGGC